rnacentral:tRNA from 1 species
AAAAACGCCUGGCGCAGCUUCUCGGCGUCCCCGAUAAAGGGGGGGAGCGGGGCCGGGUGCAAUUCCAGGGUGAUCUUGC